CCUACGGGUUGCAGCAGUGGGGAAUAUUGCACAAUGGGCGCAAGCCUGAUGCAGCCAUGCCGCGUGUGUGAAGAAGGCCUUCGGGCUGUAAAGCACUUUCAGCGGGGAGGAAGGCAUUAAGGUUAAUAACCUUAGUGAUUGACGUUACCCGCAGAAGAAGCACCGGCUAACUCCGUGCCAGCAGCCGCGGUAAUACGGAGGGUGCAAGCGUUAAUCGGAAUUACUGGGCGUAAAGCGCGCGCAGGCGGUCUGUCAAGUCGGAUGUGAAAUCCCCGGGCUCAACCUGGGAACUGCAUUCGAAACUGGCAGGCUAGAGUCUUGUAGAGGGGGGUAGAAUUCCAGGUGUAGCGGUGAAAUGCGUAGAGAUCUGGAGGGAUACCGGUGGCGAAGGCGGCCCCCUGGACAAAGACUGACGCUCAGGUGCGAAAGCGUGGGGAGCAAACAGGAUUAGAUACCCUCGUAGUC
rnacentral:rRNA from 1 species